rnacentral:rRNA from 1 species
UACGAAGGGGGCUAGCGUUGCUCGGAAUCACUGGGCGUAAAGCGCACGUAGGCGGUUUUUUAAGUCAGGGGUGAAAUCCUGGAGCUCAACUCCAGAACUGCCUUUGAUACUGGGAAUCUCGAGUCCGGAAGAGGUGAGUGGAACUGCGAGUGUAGAGGUGAAAUUCGUAGAUAUUCGCAAGAACACCAGUGGCGAAGGCGGCUCACUGGUCCGGUACUGACGCUGAGGUGCGAAAGCGUGGGGAGCAAACAGG